rnacentral:rRNA from 1 species
GAUUAAGUUAUUAAGGGCGCACGGUGGAUGCCUUGGCACUAGAAGCCUACGAAGGACGUUACUAACGACGAUAUGCUUUGGGGAGCUGUAAGUAAGCUUUGAUCCAGAGAUUUCCGAAUGGGGAAACCCAACACGAGUUAUGUCGUGUUAUCGAUAUGUGAAUACAUAGCAUAUCUGAAGGCAGACGCGGGGAACUGAAACAUCUUAGUACCCGCAGGAAGAGAAAGAAAAAUCGAUUCCCUGAGUAGCGGCGAGCGAAACGGGAAGAGCCCAAACCAACGAGCUUGCUUGUUGGGGUUGUAGGACACUCUAUACGGAGUUACAAAAGAACAAAUUAGACGAAUCAUCUGGAAAGAUGAAUCAAAGAAGGUAAUAAUCCUGUAGUCGAAAGUUUGUUCACUCUUGAGUGGAUCCUGAGUACGACGGAACACGAGAAAUUCCGUCGGAAUCCGGGAGGACCAUCUCCCAAGGCUAAAUACUCUCUAGUGACCGAUAGUGAACCAGUACCGUGAGGGAAAGGUGAAAAGUACCCCGGAAGGGGAGUGAAAUAGAACUUGAAACCGUGUGCUUACAAGUAGUCAGAGCCCGUUAAUGGGUGAUGGCGUGCCUUUUGUAGAAUGAACCGGCGAGUUACGAUUUGAUGCAAGGUUAAGCAGUUAAUGUGGAGCCGUAGCGAAAGCGAGUCUGAAUAGGGCGUUGAGUAUUUGGUCGUAGACCCGAAACCAGGUGAUCUACCCAUGACCAGGCUGAAGUUCAGGUAACACUGAAUGGAGGGCCGAACCGACUUACGUUGAAAAGUGAGCGGAUGAGUUGUGGGUAGCGGAGAAAUUCCAAUCGAACCUGGAGAUAGCUGGUUCUCUCCGAAAUAGCUUUAGGGCUAGCCUUAAGUAAUGAUUAUUGGAGGUAGAGCACUGUUUGGACGAGGGGCCCUUAUCGGGUUACCGAAUUCAGACAAACUCCGAAUGCCAAUCAAUUUUAUCUUAGGAGUUAGAACGCGGGUGAUAAGGUCCGUGUUCGAAAGGGAAACAGCCCAGACCACCAGCUAAGGUCCCAAAAUAUAUGUUAAGUGGAAAAGGAUGUGGCGUUGCCCAGACAACUAGUAUGUUGGCUUAGAAGCAGCCAUCAUUUAAAGAGUGCGUAAUAGCUCACUAGUCGAGUGACACUGCGCCGAAAAUGUACCGGGGC